rnacentral:rRNA from 1 species
AUUGAACGCUGGCGGCAGGCCUAACACAUGCAAGUCGAAUGGUAACAGGAAACAGCUUGCUGUUUCUCUGACGAGUGGCGGACGGGUGAGUAAUGUUUGGGAAACUGCCUGAUGGAGGGGGAUAACUACUGGAAACGGUAGCUAAUACCGCAUAACGUCGCAAGACCAAAGAGGGGGACCUUCUGGCCUCUUGCCAUCAAAUGUGCCCAGAUGGUAUUAGCUAGUAGGUGGGGUAACGACUCACCUAGGCGACGAUCCGUAGCUGGUCUGAGAGUAUGACAGCCCACACUGGAGCUGAGCCACGGACCAGACUCCUACGGGAGGCAGCAGUGGGGAAUAUUGCACAAUGGGCGGAAGCCUUAUACAGUCAUGCCAAGUGUAUGAAAGAGGCCUUCGGGUUGUGAAGUACUUUCAGCGGGGAGAAAGGGAGUAAGGUUAAUACCUUUCCUCAUUGACGUUACCCGCAGAAGAAGCACCGGCUAACUCCGUG